GAGAGAGAGAGAGAGAGAGAGAGAGGAGAGAUCCAAGUAGGGACAUUGCCUAGGAGGGUUAGUUUUAGUUCCUGUCUCUAAAAUCAGGGUAGUCACCUCAAUAGGGAAAGUGAAUUGGCUAUGAAAUGAAAAGGGAAAAAUAAUUUCCACCAAAUCAGUAAGAAAGCAAGAGGAAGGAGUUGUUCACUUAAUUCUGACAACCGAGAGGCCCUGAGUCCUGGCCCUGUUGUCUCUGCUACCUCCCAAAGGCCGGUUACAAUGCUGCCUUCGAGUGGAUUAUCAGAUACAGGUGGUGUCAGUUUGGUGCGAUCAAAGGCUUCAACAUGGUGAGUGAAACUCCUAGUUUGUGAGAGAUCCCAGAUUCAAUACUUUGUCUCAUUCAAUCUCUGAGGAUUCACCUUCUGCCUGUUGUGACAGGAGAGAAAUGGAGAGUGGAGUACAGUAGGACAGACAUCUGCACUGGCUCAGGAGAAGUUCCGUCAGUCCCUACACAGGGAGAUGUUUUCAGAGAAGAACGAAGAGGCCAGGAGAGGGGAGAAACUGCUGGCUCUUGGCCCUCAGCUGGGAUUGCAAGCAAGUGUGAGCCAUGGGGACAAGAAUACAGGAUCCCCUAGAACCUCAAAGGAGCAGGAGCUGGAGCUCAGAGGAAGGAGAAAUACUAGGAAGAAGUGCUCAGGAGAUGCUCCCAAAGUGGUUUGCUCUGAAAGUUGCUUGGAGGUGGUGAUACUUGGUCAUUGGCAGGGGAAGGGAAAAAGCAUUUUCUGAGGGCUGAAGUUCAGAGGCCAAGCAGUGUCUGCUGGGGAGGGAUUUAUCCAGGCUGAUUCAGCUGCGUUUGUGCAGAGAAGUUCCCGGAGUGGGUAAAGCAUGUUGGGGCACUCAGCGACAUUAUCCUCUGGGCCGUGGGAUACCACUGGGGCCAGAGAGCUGGGCAGCUGAUAGCCUGUAUCACUGAUUAUCUGGCUCAUUUGGGGAAUCUGAGGACGGUGACUCCAUCAGCGAAUGAUGAAGGAGACAAGUUCUGGCCACAAGGGCCCGGGCAAUGUUUCUGGGAGCCCUUUGCAUUCCAUUAUAUUUCCUGUCACAAUCACCCUCGUCUCUGCCCUAGAAUGAGACUCAAAUUCUUUAAGUCCAGCUGCUUUGGACUCAACAAACUUCCCAUUGGGAAACAAUGCUUUUGAUUUUCAGUUUGACCACUAACCUUGAGCUAGGUAAUUUAUCUUGCUGAGCCUUGGAUUUCCCCCUGAACAUGGAAAUGAUAAUACCUCCUUUGCAAGUGUUAGGAUAAAUGCAAGAGUCCUGUGGAAUGUAAGGCACACAUUAGGUGCUCAACAAAUACCAGAUCCUUCUUAUUUGGUCCUUUCAAACCAGGACUAGUUUUUUUUUACUUUAAUGGGUUCAGCAUAUCACUCAAAAUACUUCACUUAAAAACAAUCAAAGCUUACAUAAUCACCAGCCUAAGUGGUUGCAUUAGCCUGUUAUUCUGUCAUCUUUUUCCAAUAAACAAACUGUCUUCCUCUCUCUUUCCUUUCUGUGGACGGAUCUGGAGGAUUUGCAAUGUGCAAAGCAGGUGGAUUGAUCGGUUAUUGAUCGCGAGUGAAUUAUAACCCCUUCAGCUCCAGCUCCUAAAAGCCACCCUUGUUUCUUCUGCCCAUUGCCUGGGACACAGUGACAUGUGGUUGCUGAAUUGAGAGAAAUCUGAUUGAUUUGAGUGUGGUCAGGGAGACUGCCCUCUGACUAGUCUAGCUACCAGGAUGCCAAAUUCUCUUGGGUGCAGCAAGGAGUGAUGGUUAUGUGGUUCAAGCAGGGCCAAUAUGGGUCUUGGCUGAAGUGUCUGGAAGGGGAAGGUCCCUUUCUAUUGCUAAGGCCUGAUCCUGGCAUCUUUUCUACCAAGGAAGAAGAGCCUUUCAGUGAGCAAUUUUCCUCCACCAUGAUACUUCUGUCUUGGAGCCAGCUAAAACAGACUGAACUCUCUGAAACUGUGAGGCAAAAUAAAGCUCUCCUCCUUCAAGCUGUGGGUGUUGCGUACUUUGUCCCAAUGGGAAAGUGACUACUACAGUCUUCAGGGAUCCAAGUCGCUCAUGGGUAACAAUUACAGUGACUGAGGAUGGCAGCACAUAUGUGGUUGUGGGGGAAGCAGUAGAAGCCUACAAAUGGAACCAGGCCAGGGGAGAGGCCCAUAAGGAUGAUGAUCCCAGAGCUGCGUCCUGAAUGGAAAUUAGCUAGGUAAAAAUGGGAAGAGGGUUACUUUUUAGGGGAACAUCGCUGCGGUGUGAGAAGGAGAGAGACACUUAGGAGAUCCUCUGGCACCUCUGGGCGUAGUGGAUGGAGGUAAUGAAAGUGGAAAUGAGACAAGAACCAAAUGAAGAAAGUCUUGUAAGCCAUGCUAAGGAUAUUGGACUUUGUGUGUGAGUAACAAGAGAAAACUCCUUGAUGUGCUGUGGAGAUGAAAGGGACAGGGGAGAUGGGAGAGAGGGAGCCUAUUGAGGCCAGAAGUGAUGCUGCUCAUUUGAAAGAGAGGCAGAGGAGAGAUGAUAAAAGGUGACUGUACCUGACUGAUCAGGACAAAGGGGAGGGAAAGGCAGGAGAUAAAACUUUUAGCUUUCUGGCUUAGACGAUGGGGAAAGUGGUAACACCGUACAAAUUAGUCGCUCCAGGUGGAGAAACGCUGUGUGCCCACAGUAGACACCAAGCAAAUAUUUGUUCAAUGUAUGAACAUAUAUACAAAUAAGAGAUGAUAGCUCUUACCACAGCUAAUUUAGAAAUUCAAUGAAAUUCCAAUUAAAAAGUCCAUUAUAUGCACAUUGAGACGAUACUCUUAAGUGAAAUAAACAGGACACACAUGUGUAAAUACCUAACAGUUUCUCUAGUGUGAGAAACUGAAAGUGUAAAUAAGGACUAAAAGGUAUAAUAGAUAAUGUGAAAUAGGAAGAAAAGGGGCAAAGGGGAGGGGGGAGUGGGAGGAGGAGGGGAAAGGAAAGAAAGGAAUGGAAUUAAUAUGAGAAAAUGAAAAAAUGGAAACAAAGUCUUUGUAAAUAGGGAG
rnacentral:lncRNA from 1 species